UCAGAACAGGGAGAAAAGGGGGUUCAACCCUAGUUCUUGAAUCCAGCCAAAUUAAAGAGAAUUUCAUAGAAAUCGAACUGCAUGAGUUAAGAAUUCGACCAUCUAAACCUAUUUAUUGAAGUGGCGUGAAAGAAGAAGGUUCCAACACUAGGAAAUCAGAAAGUUCACAAGAUCGAGGUAAAUCCUCAAGCUAGGCGGUCGGACGAUUUGGAAUGAGCACACUUGAUCUACGCCCACUACACGCUUCCAUCAUAAGUGAAUAUAACGUGGUCUAAACUUUUGGUCUUAUGUACUUUAAAUUGUGUAGUAUUUUGAUGUCCUUAUGGUUUGGUUUAAAACUUUUUAGUGGUAGUCUUGUUGUAAACAACUUAAACGUUCCGUUUUGGGUUUUUGUCAAGGAUGAUUUAUGUAGAAAUGGUUUACCGUAUAAAACAGGUGUUAGUGGUC